ACACGUAAGGGGCGAGCGUUGUUCGGAAUUAUUGGGCGUAAAGGGCGUGUAGGCGGCCUGGUAAGUCUGGUGUGAAAGACCGCAGCUCAACUGCGGGACCGCGCUGGAAACUAUCAGGCUGGAGUCUAAGAGGGGGAACUGGAAUUCCAGGUGUAGGGGUGAAAUCUGUAGAUAUCUGGAAGAACACCGGAGGCGAAGGCGAGUUCCUGGCUAUAGACUGACGCUGAGGCGCGAAAGCGUGGGGAGCGAACAGGAUUAGAUACCCUGGUAGUCCACGCUGUAAACUUUGUGCACUAGGUGUCGGCCUUAAGGGGUCGGUACCGCAGCUAACGCGUUAAGUGCACCGCCUGGGGAGUAUGCUCGCAAGGGUGAA
rnacentral:rRNA from 1 species